AAUCGAACCCGGUACCGUUAAUAUAUAUAAAAAAAUCCUAAUAAUACUUUCUGCAAAAAAAAACAAAAAAAAUACUUAAUAGAAAAAUUUGUCAAAAACCCUUCACUAUUCACACAGUGCAAACGAUCUGCUUCUUGACAACGAGAGAACAAUCCUCUUCUUCUUUUUCUGCAAAUAAUAAUCCCUCUACAAUCAAACUCAUUCUUUCUCUUCGAACUUCGUUAAUGUUCCUCAUCACACCUCCAAUUCCAAUUUCGAUUCUUACGACUCAGACUUCAGAGACGAUUUUGGCACGCAACAAUCGUGUUUUCUUCUUCGCUCCUCAGAAUCGUGACUCAAACCCGAACAUAAUCAGCAUGUCUUCGUUCCUCAGAAUCGUGACUUCUAACCACCAAACAGUUUCAGCUUCCAAUCAGUAAUGAGAAAGUGCGCCAUGUAAAUCAAGCUAACCACCAUAUGUACCUUUUCCUAGGAAUUGGUUCAGGAACAAUUAUGGUAGGUGCCCAUCUUAUUACAUGGAAUGUUGCAGACAGUUGCUAAGCGGAUGCAUCUGAAGUUGCAGAGGACAUUAAGGUUUUAACUUGGAAAUGGAGUGCUCAUAAAUUGAAGAUCGCCCCGUGUUUAUAUUACGAAUGGACUUGGGACCCAGGUAUUUGUUUUGAGCGCUGAUGAGCUCUGCUGAUUUUUUUUAGCUGCCUUGACAGUCUUGUGGUUUUUUGCUAUCAGAAGAGACUGACUUUUGCUGCUACUGGUUUUUCUCUCUUUCUGUUUGGUGUGUUUUGUGGGAGUGGACUUGGUUUUAUUGUUUUGUGUUUCAAUUCUUGUUGGUUUCUAUCAUUUUAUCUUGUUUUUUGGUGUUGGUGGGCAUUUGUUUGUUUUUAGGUGUUCUCUACUGCUUGUUUUCCAUGUUCUACCUUGUAUCUCCAAUUUAUGGUACUUCUUAUACUAUGUUGGCUUAUAAUAAAGUUUUGUUGAUUCAAAAAAAAAUGCACAUGUUGACCAUAACCAUUGUUUUACAAUCUUAAGCAGGUUUUUUUUUCUUUUUCAGUUGACUAAUCUAAUUGGUCAGCUGCUUGAUCUGGGAGGCCUACAAUAUUUAGCAGUUGCAGCCUGAGGUGUGGGUCUGCUGUGUAUUUAGUAGAUUGGAGGCUUGGUUUGAUGUUUAAAGACAUUUUGAGGUGGAUCAUUGUAAGUGUCAUUGCCCCUUGUUUCUUGCUUGUCGGCUGAAUGGUAUGUUUGGCAUUAGGCAAUCUCUUACUGUUUGGAGCUUUGCGAUGUUGUCUAGCUUUGCGAUGCUUGUGACUGUCUAGAGUUUUGUGUAGUUUCCUCUGCUGCUGUGUUAUCUUGCAGGGGUUGUUCAUUGGUUUUUAGUAGGAUGAACUUGUGUUAUUUUUGUUUUCAUCUACAAUGCUAAAACGUGUCCUCUUAGGAAGUUAUUUGUGUAAGUUUUGCACAUGAUCAAUUAAUUUUAACUUAAUUAUAUUUUAUGCCUCAAACUAUAUUGAACUUUAUUAAUAUUUUAGUUAGGGAUUUUUAAUAUUCUUUCCAUUUUUUAGAACAGGACAUUUUCUCAAGCAUGGUUUAUCUCUUCAUGGGUUCCAAAUGUCAUUGUUACUAAGAAGUAAGAAAACAGAAAAUCCACCUCAAGCAUUAAGUAAGAAGCAAUUGUUGAUGAGAGAUUUGAGGUAUCUCUUAUUUUACUCUUCUUAUUUUAAUUAUCAUUUGAUUGUGGUAUUAUAUUGCUAUUGCAAGUUUGUACGUAGUUUAAUAAUGAUUAAAAGUUUUGUAACAUUGUUGAUAAUGGCAUGUGUUAAGUUAAGAGACAAGGUUUGGUGACAUUUCUUAUCUCUUUCUCCUUGUCUUAGUGUUGUUUAAUACUUGUGAAUGUUACUUUUGUUUCUGAGUGUGAGUA